rnacentral:lncRNA from 1 species
UGAGUAAAGGAAAUUACAUUAUAUUACAUAAAUAAAUGAAGCUUUAAUUUUGUUCUCCAUAUUUCUCAACAGCUUUGCAGAUGGUAUUAAGAAACAGGGCAUCUGUGUCUCCCUGUGGAAAAACCCAGGCUCUUCUGGAACUGUGGGCUCCUUGUGUUGCUGUCAUGUAAUCAAGAAGCUAGAGCAUCUGCCCAUUAUCACAUUUCUAAUGUUGAAGUGGAGAUAUGAGGAUUUUGAAAGUUCCCAAUUGGAUGCCUCUAAAGGAAGUGAGGGCUCUUUCAAGUAAGAAAAACUCAUUUUAUAUUACCUUUUAAGCUAGCUGUUAUUAAUUUUCAAUUUUAUGCUAGAAAUUUGCAACUCACAAAAAGAAAGGAAAAAAGUUAAACCCUGAUUUUAAAUAUCAUUGUUCCCCAUUUUUCAUGUCUCAGUUACCACAUUUAAAAAGAAGAUGGCACCAUUUGUCCAAGGAAUCUCAUUACUGGGUAUAUGCCCAAAGGAAUAUAAAUCAUUCUAUUAUAAAGAUACAA